rnacentral:misc_RNA from 1 species
UCCGGUUUGUCACCGGCAGUCACCUUAGAGUGCCCAACUGAAUGCUGGCAACUAAGAUCAAGGGUUGCGCUCGUUGCGGGACUUAACCCAACAUCUCACGACACGAGCUGACGACAACCAUGCACCACCUGUCACUCUGUCCCCCGAAGGGGAACGCCCUAUCUCUAGGGUUGUCAGAGGAUGUCAAGACCUGGUAAGGUGGGGAUGACGUCGGAGGAAUUCCA